CAGCCUGAUUGGUCCUGUAAGGAGUCACUGGAGAGGAGACAGUUCCAGAGCAGCGAGGAGAUGAUGGAAACGGACCUGAUCCUGGUGAUCUGGUUCUGUGGAGGAAGAGAGCAAGGAGAGGUUAGAGAAGAAUCUGGGAGCUUAGUUCGCUAACAGAGCUUGACCUGUUUUACCACGGAGAGAGUGGAACCAACUGGCAGCUUGUUCCAGGAAACUGCUCCAAUAUAAAGGCCCCCACUGAUUGUCAUCAAGGAGUAACAGCUGGAACCCAUCAAGCCUGCCACCCUGAAGUCCCAUUGGGAUUCAGAAUCUCUUUUUCAAGAGAGACCUGGCCAAGGUUGAUCCUGCCUGAAUACCUCAAACUCUGGAGAGUUUCUCUGCCGGUGAUGUGUCUGAUCGUUCUCAGUAGGACUCUGGAGAGCAGCCUCAGUCAAGUACCUGCCUGCCCGCUCUCAGAAGAUUACUGGAAGGAAAACUCAAUCAGUGAUCUGCCUGCACUCAGUAAGCUCUGCCUCCGCCUCUGCCCUCAGCCUGCCGACAACCUCUGGACCCUCAAGGUUCCCCCCCUCUGCAGCUCUGCUCCAUUUCCGAACAGGUACAGACCUGAACACUCACAACCAGCAAAAGGACCUGGACCUCCACUAAUCCCUCUGUCCUCCUCAGCAGUGAACCCACUCAUGACCAGUCAAGCCCCCUCUUGGAUCUGAACAUACUUUGUACAUUUAUUAUUAAUAAAUCUUUGAACUUUUUCAUCUGCCUCCGAGUGUUCUGCAUGUGGGUUAGACACAUUAAUCCGAACAUGACAUAAGUAGCCAAGAUAUACAUAAGA